ACGGGUGAGUAAAGCGUAGGAAUCUGUCUUAGAGAGGGGGAUAACCUGGGGAAACUUAGGCUAAAACCGCGUAUACUCGAGAGAGGAAAGCAGGGGACCGAAAGGCCUUGUGCUCUAAGGUGAGCCUACGUCAGAUUAGCUAGUUGGUGGGGUAAAGGCCUACCAAGGCGAUGAUCUGUAGCUGGUCUGAGAGGACGGACAGCCACACUGGGACUGAGACACGGCCCAGACUCCUACGGGAGGCAGCAGUGGGGAAUAUUGGACAAUGGGGGCAACCCUGAUCCAGCGAUGCCGCGUGUGUGAAGAAGGCCUGCGGGUUGUAAAGCACUUUCAGUGGGAAAGAGAAGCGUCAUAGGAAUAUUGUGACGUGGAGACGUUACUCACAGAAGAAGCACCGGCUAACUCUGUGCCAGCAGCCGCGGUAAUACAGAGGGUGCAAGCGUUAAUCGGAGUAACUGGGCGUAAAGGGCACGUAGGCGGUUAUAUUAGUCUGAUGUGAAAGACCUGGGCUUAACCUGGGAUGUGCAUUGGAAACGGUAUGACUAGAGUAUGGGAGAGGGAAGUGGAAUUUCCGGUGUAGCGGUGAAAUGC
rnacentral:rRNA from 1 species